rnacentral:rRNA from 1 species
GAACGUUGGCGGCACGCUUAACACAUGCAAGUCGAACGAGAAACCCGAGCUUGCUCGGGUGGACAGUGGCAGACGGCUUAGUAACGCGUGGGUAUCUACCUAGAGGUUUGGAACAACUAUUGGAAACGAUAGCUAAUACCAAAUAUUCCCUAAGGGGGAAAGAUUUAUCGCCUUUAGAUGAGCCCGCGUCGGAUUAGCUUGUUGGUAGGGUAAAGGCCUACCAAGGCAACGAUCCGUAGCUGGUCUGAGAGGAUGAUCAGCAAGAUUGGGACUGAGACACGGCCCAGACUCCUACGGGAGGCAGCAGUGGGGAAUAUUGCGCAAUGGGGGAAACCCUGACGCAGCGAUGCCGCGUGAGUGAAGAAGGCCUUAGGGUUGUAAAACUCUUUCACCGGUGAAGAUAAUGACGGUAGCCGGAGAAGAAGCCCCGGC